GAUGAACGCUGGCGGCGUGCUUAACACAUGCAAGUCGAACGGAAAGGCCUCAGCUUGCUGGGGUACUCGAGUGGCGAACGGGUGAGUAACACGUGGGUGAUCUGCCCUGCACUUUGGGAUAAGCUUGGGAAACUGGGUCUAAUACCGAAUAUGACCACUUCUUGGAUGUUGUGGUGGAAAGCUUUUGCGGUGUGGGAUGAGCCUGCGGCCUAUCAGCUUGUUGGUGGGGUAAUGGCCUACCAAGGCGGCGACGGGUAUCCGGCCUGAGAGGGUGUACGGACACAUUGGGACUGAGAUACGGCCUAGACUCCUACGGGAGGCAGCAGUGGGGAAUAUUGCACAAUGGGCGCAAGCCUGAUGCAGCGACGCCGCGUGGGGGAUGAAGGCCUUCGGGUUGUAAACUCCUCUCGCUAUCGACGAAGCCACUUGUGGUGACGGUAGGUAGAUAAGAAGCACCGGCUAACUACGUGCCAGCCGCCGCAGUAA
rnacentral:rRNA from 1 species